rnacentral:piRNA from 1 species
UGAACUCAGAAGAUAAAGUGCCCUUCAGGAA